rnacentral:rRNA from 1 species
UACGGGGGGAGCAAGCGUUAUUCGGAUUUACUGGGCGUAAAGGGCGCGUAGGCGGCCACCGCAAGUCGACUGUGAAAUCUCCGGGUUUAACCCGGAAAGGUCAGCCGAUACUGCGGGGCUAGAGUGCAGAAGGGGCAACUGGAAUUCUCGGUGUAGCGGUGAAAUGCGUAGAUAUCGAGAGGAACACCUGCGGCGAAGGCGGGUUGCUGGGCUGACACUGACGCUGAGGCGCGAAAGCUAGGGGAGCGAACGGG